rnacentral:lncRNA from 1 species
GCUUCAAUUAAAAGUUCAAAGAAGGCUGGGCGCAGUGGCUCCUAUUACACUGUACAUUGUGCCCCAUGCAGUUCUUGUAUCCAACUCCAGGUCAUACAUUCGCUUCCAAAAUAACCAUCCUCUUUGUCUAAUUCCAACUUACUCUUGAAAGCUCUUGGGUCUCAUCGAGACUGGAAAGAUCUCCCUGGACCACCCUGUUCCAGGCGGUACUCCCACAAAGAUGGCACUUUAUGAACAUUUUAUGAACACUAAGGAGUUUGGCAUAGAGUAGUUGCCCAGUAAACACUGAAUUAAUAAAUGAAUACAGGAAUGAAUGAAUGAUGAGUGAUAGAGUAGAAACUCAACAAAUAUUUGUUGAAUGAAUCAAUUGGUUAAAAGCAAAAAAUGUAUUGCCUCAUGUAACUAAAAAAUCCAGGGUAAGAGCUGAAUGUAUGAAUAAAUGGAUAGAUGAAUGGAUGGAAAGAUGAAUGGAUGGAUGGAAAGAUGGAAGAACUGAUGAACAGAUAGGUGGAUGGAUGGAGGGAUAAUGGAUGAAAGGAUGGAUGGACAGAUGGAAAGAAAGAUGGAAGGACUGAUGAACAGAUGGGUGGAUGGAUGGAUGGAUAAUGGAUGAAAGGAUGGAUGGACAGAUGGAAAGAAAGAUGGAAGGACUGAAGAACAGAUGGGUGGGUGGAUGGAUGCAUGGAUGAUGGAUAAUGGAUGGAAAGAUGGAUGGAUAGAUGGCUGGAUGAAAGGAAGGAAGGAGGCAUGGAUGGAUGAUGGAUGGAUAGAUACGUUAACUAAUAAACCUCUCCUCUUCCAGCAGUUUGGGAAGUUGGCCUUUGCAGGCCUGUUUUUCCAGAGGUUAAAGUUAUAUUUCAGUAGACAUAAUCCUAACCACUUUUACCAGGCACUUUAGAAAUUCUCGAACCUCAAAGGGAGACAGACGAGUGAUGCUAGGCUCCAGUGGAUAACGGGAAUGUCCUUAAAAGGAAACUGAGUACUUUUUUCUGUUAGAGAUUAACUUCCUAGUAAAUUGCAGCAUGCCUGCCACAGCUGGAGGUAGAUGAAGAAUUCUGUUUUUAAAAGCCCUCAGAGAACUUGAAUUUAAUUAAAUGAGCAUUUUAUUCCAUUCCAAAAGGAAGCAAAACAAACCACCCUGGUUCUGAACUUCGAAGGACCUAAAGCUUCCUUCCUUUGAUUUGGUAAAAAGCUGAGUGAGCUCUGCCCCUCAGGAGCUAGUGAAAUAAGGGCAGCCCCACCUCAAAGCCUCACCACCAGCUGCGAACUCUUUCCAUAGAGUCCUGAGUGUGGACAUUGCAAGCAGCUCUCACCAUGCACAGUCCUGUUUUGCAAGGUAAAUUUCCACUAGUAGGGAGGAGGGAGAAAAACAGAGUUGUCUUAAAAAAAAAAAAAAUUGAAAGGAGUUCCCAGAGCUUGGCCUAUCCCCAGUAAGCUGUGCAAAGAGGCCCCAAACUUCCUGAUCCCCAGCUGCAAGCCCAGGCCUGUUUCCUGGCCUGCAGCAAGCUUAGCACCCCUGGGACAGGGCAGGGCUUUGGGCCAGCUGACAGGGCCCCCAUCCCUCCUGCUCCUCCAGGCUCUGCUGAAGCAAAGGGAAGCUCUGUAGUCAAUUUCAGGCUGAACUGCUUUGCUUUUUGUGCCUCCUUCCUUAUUUUUUCCUCACCGCAGUUGCCUUAUUGCUCAAAAGAAUCUCAAUCAGUUUCUCAGGUUUUUAUGGCCAAAAAGAAGGGUCCUUUGCAGCACCUUACUGCUUCGCCCUCCCUUUCUCCCUCCCUGCCUCAUCCCUCAUUCCUCCAACUUCCUCGAUUUCUUCCUUUCCUUCUCGCCCACCCUCUCCCCAUUUUUCUCUUCCUCCCUCCUCCCUACCCCUUUUCCCUCACCCCUCUCCUUUCUCUCCCUUCCUCCCUCCGUCUCCCCUCUCCUUCUCUCCCUCUCCCAUUCUGCCUCUCCCCGCUCUUUCAUCUCCCUACCUCUUCCCUUUCUCUCCCUCUCCUUCUUUCCCUCCUCCCUCUCUUCCUCUGUUUCCCCUCCUCCUUUUUCUUCUUGCCCUCUCUCCUCCCUCCUCUUCUCCCUCUCCCUACCUCUUUCCUCUUUCUCUCCCUUCCCCCCUCCUCUCCC